rnacentral:rRNA from 1 species
CGGCGGACGGGUGAGCAACACGUGGGUAACCUACCUAUAAGACUGGGACAACUUCGGGAAACCGGAGCUAAUACCGGAUAAGAUAUCGAACCGCAUGGUUCGAUAGUGAAAGAUGGUUUUGCUAUCACUUAUAGAUGGACCCGCGCCGUAUUAGCUAGUUGGUGAGGUAACGGCUCACCAAGGCAACGAUACGUAGCCGACCUGAGAGGGUGAUCGGCCACACUGGAACUGAGACACGGUCCAGACUCCUACGGGAGGCAGCAGAG